CAGUAGCCACGGUAAUACGGAGGGUGCAAGCGUUAAUCGGAAUUACUGGGCGUAAAGCGCACGCAGGCGGUCUGUCAAGUCAGAUGUGAAAUCCCCGGGCUUAACCUGGGAACUGCAUUUGAAACUGGCAGGCUAGAGUCUUGUAGAGGGGGGUAGAAUUCCAGGUGUAGCGGUGAAAUGCGUAGAGAUCUGGAGGAAUACCGGUGGCGAAGGCGGCCCCCUGGACAAAGACUGACGCUCAGGUGCGAAAGCGUGGGGAGCAAACAGGAUUAGAUACCCGCGUAGUCCCUGUCUCUUAUAU
rnacentral:rRNA from 1 species